rnacentral:rRNA from 1 species
CAGUAGCCGCGGUAAUACGAAGGGUGCAAGCGUUACUCGGAAUUACUGGGCGUAAAGCGUGCGCAGGCGGUUAUAUAAGUCAGAUGUGAAAUCCCCGGGCUCAACCUGGGAACUGCAUUUGAGACUGUAUGGCUAGAGUGUGUCAGAGGGGGGUAGAAUUCCACGUGUAGCAGUGAAAUGCGUAGAUAUGUGGAGGAACAUCAGUGGCGAAGGCGGCCAUCUGGGACAACACUGACGCUGAGGCACGAAAGCGUGGGGAGCAAACAGGAUUAGAUACCCCCGUAGUCCCUGUCUCUUAUAC